UGCCGAGGAAAUCCUCGGGAGUUAACUGCCGUCGGUUUUCUAAAACUUCGGCAGUUAAUUGCCGAAGGGCAU
rnacentral:pre_miRNA from 1 species